rnacentral:rRNA from 1 species
GACGAACGCUGGCGGCGUGCCUAAUACAUGCAAGUAGAACGCUGAAGGAGGAGCUUGCUUCUCCGGAUGAGUUGCGAACGGGUGAGUAACGCGUAGGUAACCUGCCUGGUAGCGGGGGAUAACUAUUGGAAACGAUAGCUAAUACCGCAUAACAGUAGAUAUUGCAUGAUAUCUGCUUGAAAGGUGCAAUUGCAUCACUACCAGAUGGACCUGCGUUGUAUUAGCUAGUUGGUGAGGUAACGGCUCACCAAGGCGACGAUACAUAGCCGACCUGAGAGGGUGAUCGGCCACACUGGGACUGAGACACGGCCAGACUCCUACGGGAGGCAGCAGUAGGGAAUCUUCGGCAAUGGACGGAAGUCUGACCGGGCAACGCCGCGUGAGUGAAGAAGGUUUUCGGAUCGGAAAGCUCUGUUGUAAGAGAAGAACGAGUGUGGUAGUGGAAAGUUCACACUGUGACGGUAUCUUACCAGAAAGGGACGGCUAACUACGUG